rnacentral:lncRNA from 1 species
CCACUCAUAUUUGUAGUAAAAUUUUUUAAAUAUUUUACAUAAACAAAUUACAAAAAAGACGAAGGAAUGAACAACUCGAUCCACGUGAUGUUCUUGUCUCCCAUCCAAAAACUCCUCUAAAAAUUAUGUUUAAUAACUAUAUAUAUAGGGAAAAGGAAAAAAUAAGCUUUAAAACCUGGAGCACACCCUCGCUACAGAUCGCGCAUUGCGAGUUCCAUCUCGUUGUAACCCUGGCGUCUCUAGAUCUACUGCACGCCUCCAUCUCGCUGUACGUGACGCGAGCUUGAACUCUCGCGUCGCCUGCUGCUACUUCAUUUACA